rnacentral:rRNA from 1 species
AGAGGAGCUUGCUCCUGGAUUCAGCGGCGGACGGGUGAGUAAUGCCUAGGAAUCUGCCUGAUAGUGGGGGACAACGUUUCGAAAGGAACGCUAAUACCGCAUACGUCCUACGGGAGAAAGCAGGGGACCUUCGGGCCUUGCGCUAUCAGAUGAGCCUAGGUCGGAUUAGCUAGUUGGUGAGGUAAUGGCUCACCAAGGCGACGAUCCGUAACUGGUCUGAGAGGAUGAUCAGUCACACUGGAACUGAGACACGGUCCAGACUCCUACGGGAGGCAGCAGUGGGGAAUAUUGGACAAUGGGCGAAAGCCUGAUCCAGCCAUGCCGCGUGUGUGAAGAAGGUCUUCGGAUUGUAAAGCACUUUAAGUUGGGAGGAAGGGUUGUAGAUUAAUACUCUGCAAUUUUGACGUUACCGACAGAAUAAGCACCGGCUAACUCUGUGCCAGCAGCCGCGGUAAUACAGAGGGUGCAAGCGUUAAUCGGAAUUACUGGGCGUAAAGCGCGCGUAGGUGGUUUGUUAAGUUGGAUGUGAAAUCCCCGGGCUCAACCUGGGAACUGCAUCCAAAACUGGCAAGCUAGAGUAUGGUAGAGGGUGGUGGAAUUUCCUGUGUAGCGGUGAAAUGCGUAGAUAUAGGAAGGAACACCAGUGGCGAAGGCGACCACCUGGACUGAUACUGACACUGAGGUGCGAAAGCGUGGGGAGCAAACAGGAUUAGAUACCCUGGUAGUCCACGCCGUAAACGAUGUCAACUAGCCGUUGGGAGCCUUGAGCUCUUAGUGGCGCAGCUAACGCAUUAAGUUGACCGCCUGGGGAGUACGGCCGCAAGGUUAAAACUCAAAUGAAUUGACGGGGGCCCGC